GACGUAGGGCGCGAGCGUUGUCCGGAUUUAUUGGGCGUAAAGAGCUCGUAGGCGGCUUGUCGCGUCGACCGGUGAAAACUCACAGCUCAACUGUGAGCUUGCGGUCGAUACGGGCAGGCUCGAGUUCGGUAGGGGAGACUGGGAAUUCCUGGAUGUAGCGGUGAAAUGCGCAGAUAUCAGGAGGAACACCGGUGGCGAAGGCGGGUCUCUGGGCCGAUACUGACGCUGAGGAGCGAAAGCGUGGGGAGCGAACAGG
rnacentral:rRNA from 1 species